rnacentral:rRNA from 1 species
UUAUACCUGGUCUCGUUUCGAUCCCAGUAGUGAAGUCCUUUUGUGUUUUGUUUGUGUACUAUGGUUUUCUAUGGGAAUUUCAUUUCGCUGCAAGCU